GACGAACGCUGGCGGCGUGCUUAACACAUGCAAGUCGAGCGACGCUCUUCCUUCGGGGAGAUGACGGAGCGGCGAGCGGGUGAGUAACACGUGGGCAACCUGCCCCUAGCUCUGGGACAACACCGGGAAACCGGUGCUAAUACCGGAUACGACAUCGAGCGGCAUCUCUCGAUGUGGAAAGUUUUUUCGGCUAGGGAUGGGCCCGCGGCCUAUCAGCUUGUUGGUGGGGUAAUGGCCCACCAAGGCGACGACGGGUAGCCGGCCUGAGAGGGCGACCGGCCACACUGGGACUGAGACACGGCCCAGACUCCUACGGGAGGCAGCAGUGGGGAAUAUUGCGCAAUGGGCGAAAGCCUGACGCAGCGACGCCGCGUGAGGGAUGACGGCCUUCGGGUUGUAAACCUCUUUCAGCAGGGACGAAUUCAGACGGUACCUGCAGAAGAAGCACCGGCCAACUACGUG
rnacentral:rRNA from 1 species